GGCUGUAACAAAGAGAUCAGUGCUGUCUUUGGCCUCUGGUCAAGUGACUGCUUCUCAAAACAGAAUAAGAGCCCGCAGCACCACCCAAGGAGGAGAGUGAACUCAGACUUUAUGUCACACCCACAAUUGGAGAACUUCAGGAUUUCUCACUGGCCUGCAAUUCAUCAAGAAGCCUAGGCUAGCUGGUUGGUCAGUAAUCCUCAAAUAGCUACAUGUCUCUGUCUUUCCAGUUUGGGGAUUACCAUACUUGGUUGUUUUUAAGUCAUCUUUGCUAAUGUGAGUUGACAUCACCCUCUGGGGAAGUCAGCUGUGCUGCUGGGAGAGUCGAGCUUGCAUGGACAGAUGCUGAGGCACAAGUGCAGGGAGCAGAAGCCGAGUGCCCACCACUGCUGAAGCUGUGUGUAUUACUUCAGUGGCCUCUCUCCAACUCCACCCCCCAACCCCUCCCUCUUCUGGGACCCACUGUCUUGGAACAGACUUUUUUUCUGGUGUCAACAAUACUGGUUAGACUCGUUUCUUGCCUGUCUAAGUCAGAGAGCACAGCCACAGCUGUUUCCCAGGCUCUUGGUCAAGGGCCUGUCUUGUCAUGGAUGCCCAGGAAGUUGAUGGAUGGCAGGGGGUGUCGUGUAGAGGGGAUUGAAAAACAGACAGAACCCACUUGGUAAUGCCAUUUCUUUGACUCCAGUUCAAGGCUCCUGACUCUGGAUCCUAGCAGACCAGGUUCUUGCUCUUGACUUCUGUGCUACGAUUGAAGGGCCACGUGAAGGCUUUGUAGGGCAAGACAUCUGUUUUCAGUCUUCACACCCCCUCCAAAGGCCCAUGUCUGACCACGGAACACAUAACAAAAGGACUUGUGGGGAAACAGAAUUUGAACCCAUUUCUGAUGGAUAGCAAACUCUAUAUUCAGUUUAUUAAACCACAAACAAUUUUAUUAUCUUGUUGAGUUUUGUGUGUGUAGCUGUUUAGGUAUGUAUGUGCACCUACCAAGCUUAAUUUGUUUGUUUAUUUUAUCUUAUUGUCAUUUUUUGGGGGGUGGGGGACAAGUUUCUCUGGGUAGCCCUGGCUGUUCCGCUACUCACUCUGCAGACCAGGCUGGCCUCAGACUCAGAGCUCUGCCUGCCUCUGCCUCCUGAGUGCUGGGACUAAAGGCCAGUGCCAGCACCGUGCCUGGCUACCUUUUACUGAUAUGGGACCUGUCUGUUGAACUGCUGGCCAGGCAGAGGGUUCUGACUGUCUCUGCCUCUCCAGUGUUGGUGUUGUGAAGUGCUCACCACCACACCUGGCUUUUUCAUGGCCCUGGUCACUACAUGCAAGGCAAAUACUUGACUGACUAAGCUCAUCUCUGUCCCUCCUUGUCUGAUUGUCCAAGUGCAGCUUUCAAGGACUGGGGCUAUGCAGGUAGGAAGACUGAGAAGGAGCCAAGUCCUCCCAUGGGACAGGAAGGGUUGGAAAUUCAUACAGUAGGGAACCUGCCCAAGGUUCAUUCAUAGCGAGCAGGGAGCGGUGAGUGAGUGUGGCACUCACCCCACAGUCUGCUGAUACCAAGGCAGAUAGAUACUCAGUAUCAAACUACAGCUUAGGUUUUCUAUUACGUUUAUUUGUUUUUCUUUGUGAUUUUUUUUUUAAUUAGUGGGCCGAAUUGAAUACACAAGUCUCCCACCCACCCCUCCCACCCCAGUAGGAAUCCCACAGCAAGGAACACAGCAGGAUGAGGUUUCCUAACAGCCAGGAGCACUCCAGUCACUGAGGCUGAACCAAAGGCAAUUUCACUCUGCUGAAGUUCUAAAUUAUCUGCCUGGCAAAUAUGGGCUCUGAUGAUGAAACCUAGUAAGUACUCAUUAUCUUCCUGGAGGAGCGCCACGGUGUGGAGGCAGGAUGGAGUCACGUGGGGGAGGGGGCUGGUUGUUACCUCCGAACAGAAGGGUCAGGAAGGUCAAGAGGUGGGGGAGCUGUGGGUGGUAAGAAACCAGGAGACCACGCCCCAGAACUUUCUAGAGAAGCUCUCUUGAAUAGGCUGUGGUGCACCCAGGGCGCAGUCCCCUGGACUAGGAACACAGGCUCGUUUCUGAGCUGUGCCCAUCCCUUUCAACUCUGAAAGGCAUAGAGCGGUCCCCUGGGUCUGAGUGUGUGAGAGCUUAAGGAGAUGGGGCAGAGCCAGCCACUGCUUAGAGAUGUCUGCAGGGGGUGAGGGAUGUUUGCUGCUAUUGUCUGGAGGGAAACUCCUUAGCAGCUGUUUCUCCAGCCUCCAUGGAAAUUAAAGCCAGGAAGCUAAGCACUGGGUGAUUGUGGGCUCAAGUUGCUUAUUAAUAGCCCACAAAGGAUUGUCAUGGGGUUUCUAGGCAAAGCCCACAGAGGAUUGCUGGGGCAGGGACUGCUUCCUGGCUCUGCUGCCUGAGAACACAGCUUCCUCCAGGCUCCUCCCACAUAGUCCGUCUAACCUGCAGGAGUUCCCAAGCCCAGAGAAGUGGUGACCUUUGUCAACUGUGUCUGCAGGGGUGUCUGGGUGACAGGUGUUUGAAAAUGGCCUUUUGGAGUAUCAGGUCAUUUAGGCAAACUGUCAGAGGUGUUAGGGUAGAUUUCUUUGAAAACUCCUAUCAAAUCCUGCCUGCUGCCUGUAUCUACAAAUAAAGUUUUAUAGACAC